UGGGGAAUAUUGGACAAUGGACCGAGAGUCUGAUCCAGCAAUUCUGUGUGCACGAUGACGUUUUUCGGAAUGUAAAGUGCUUUCAGCUGGGAAGAAAAAAAUGACGGUACCAACAGAAGAAGUGACGGCUAAAUACGUGCCAGCAGCCGCGGUAAUACGUAUGUCACGAGCGUUAUCCGGAUUUAUUGGGCGUAAAGCGCGUCUAGGUGGUUAUGUAAGUCUGAUGUGAAAAUGCAGGGCUCAACUCUGUAUUGCGUUGGAAACUGUAUAACUAGAGUACUGGAGAGGUAAGCGGAACUACAAGUGUAGAGGUGAAAUUCGUAGAUAUUUGUAGGAAUGCCGAUGGGGAAGCCAGCUUACUGGACAGAUACUGACGCUAAAGCGCGAAAGCGUGGGUAACAAACAGG
rnacentral:rRNA from 1 species